rnacentral:rRNA from 1 species
GGUUAAUAUUCCCGUACUUGGUGUUACUGCGAAGGGGGGACGGAGAAGGCUAUGUUGGCCGGGCGACGGUUGUCCCGGUUUAAGCGUGUAGGCUGGUUUUCCAGGCAAAUCCGGAAAAUCAAGGCUGAGGCGUGAUGACGAGGCACUACGGUGCUGAAGCAACAAAUGCCCUGCUUCCAGGAAAAGCCUCUAAGCAUCAGGUAACAUCAAAUCGUACCCCAAACCGACACAGGUGGUCAGGUAGAGAAUACCAAGGCGCUUGAGAGAACUCGGGUGAAGGAACUAGGCAAAAUGGUGCCGUAACUUCGGGAGAAGGCACGCUGACACGUAGGUGAAGUGAUUUACUCAUGGAGCUGAAGUCAGUCGAAGAUACCAGCUGGCUGCAACUGUUUAUUAAAAACACAGCACUGUGCAAACACGAAAGUGGACGUAUACGGUGUGACGCCUGCCCGGUGCCGGAAGGUUAAUUGAUGGGGUCAGCGCAAGCGAAGCUCCUGAUCGAAGCCCCGGUAAACGGCGGCCGUAACUAUAACGGUCCUAAGGUAGCGAAAUUCCUUGUCGGGUAAGUUCCGACCUGCACGAAUGGCGUAAUGAUGGCCAGGCUGUCUCCACCCGAGACUCAGUGAAAUUGAACUCGCUGUGAAGAUGCAGUGUACCCGCGGCAAGACGGAAAGACCCCGUGAACCUUUACUAUAGCUUGACACUGAACAUUGAGCCUUGAUGUGUAGGAUAGGUGGGAGGCUUUGAAGUGUGGACGCCAGUCUGCAUGGAGCCGACCUUGAAAUACCACCCUUUAAUGUUUGAUGUUCUAACGUGGACCCGUUACCCGGGUUGCGGACAGUGUCUGGUGGGUAGUUUGACUGGGGCGGUCUCCUCCUAAAGAGUAACGGAGGAGCACGAAGGUUGGCUAAUCCUGGUCGGACAUCAGGAGGUUAGUGCAAUGGCAUAAGCCAGCUUGACUGCGAGCGUGACGGCGCGAGCAGGUGCGAAAGCAGGUCAUAGUGAUCCGGUGGUUCUGAAUGGAAGGGCCAUCGCUCAACGGAUAAAAGGUACUCCGGGGAUAACAGGCUGAUACCGCCCAAGAGUUCAUAUCGACGGCGGUGUUUGGCACCUCGAUGUCGGCUCAUCACAUCCUGGGGCUGAAGUAGGUCCCAAGGGUAUGGCUGUUCGCCAUUUAAAGUGGUACGCGAGCUGGGUUUAGAACGUCGUGAGACAGUUCGGUCCCUAUCUGCCGUGGGCGCUGGAGAACUGAGGGGGGCUGCUCCUAGUACGAGAGGACCGGAGUGGACGCAUCACUGGUGUUCGGGUUGUCAUGCCAAUGGCACUGCCCGGUAGCUAAAUGCGGAAGAGAUAAGUGCUGAAAGCAUCUAAGCACGAAACUUGCCCCGA